rnacentral:lncRNA from 1 species
CAUACUUAAUCUUAUAAAGAAGUUAAAUAAUGUAGUUAUAUUUACUUUCAUUCAGUUAUGACAAAGAAGAACUAUAGAGUAUAAAAUAUUCAGUUUUCAAAUAUAUUGAAUUUUCUUGUUGGACCCAAUUACAUGGUCAUUUUUUCCAAGUGUUUUAUGGUAUACAGUAUAAGGUCUCUAACUAUGGAAAAUGUAUUUCAUGUAUAUAAAACAUGUUAAGUCUAGUGGAGAAAUUCUUUAAAAAUUCAUUGCCUUAUUUCUCAUUCAGAUUUGUAGUAUGUUACUAGUAGAAGACUAUAGGUAUAGUUUGAACAAAAGGUAAAAGGGGAGACUGGUGGGCAGAGAGGUGGGAGCUGGCUGUGUUGCACAUGGGGAAGUCCAGGGAUGUGCAGAGUUCAAUGGUUUUAUUUUCUAUCCCAUACAGAGCAACAGAGUCCUUGGGACAGACCAACCCUGAUGGACCCCAAGAGACUUUCAAUGAAGCAUGGGAAAGAAUUAUUAAAGCAGUUUGGGAUUCCACAGAGAGAUAUUGACUUGAUGACAGAGAAAUGGGUCGUUGAUGCUGCUGUGGAGGCUCUGUUACGGUUUCCUCUGAUGCCAGGAGAGGAUCCAAGUGCCCGCUGUGUCUCCAAUAAGAAAUAUCAGCCGUCAGUUGACCAGCCUCUCACAGCCACUCAAAGACAUGAACACCAAGAGGAGAAGUGGGACAAAUGUCGGGGAGUAAUGUGAGUAGGACAUGGGGGGAUUCCCUCUGUGGUGGAGUUGUGGGUCCCGGAGGCUUCUGACUUGUGUCUCCCUUACGGUCACACAGGCUUUUCUUUGUCAGCUUUACAUGUACAUGUAAGCUGGCACAGCAUCCUCAGCUUGUGUGUCCCUGUGUGACUUCGUGCAUGCCUCUCCUGAAAACCCACAUGUGGUUAUGGGGCUC